GACUUGCGGUGCUCGAAAGUCGUGGAUUUUUCAGAGUAACUUGAGCAACGUUAUGCUGGAAUGGUUCUUGUGAAGAUGCAGUGGCAGUGAUUCUACGAGAGUUUCACAGUGGACAGAUUCUGCAGAUUCUGCAUGGUGAUGAGGAAAGAGAUCCAAGACAAGGAGAUGAUGGCACACCAGAAGUUGACCUUAAGGGUCAUUCUCACAGAGGCAGAUAUAAGAAAGGUCAUCCUGAAUAUGAGGCCUGCUACAGUGGAGGAUUUGAUAAGCAAGCUGAAAGAAUCACUGGGACUUGAUUACAACUUCAAUCUCCAAUACAAGGAUCCUGAAUUCAAUGGUGAACUAUGCAAUCUGACAGAUA